rnacentral:lncRNA from 1 species
AAUGAAUAUAGCAAUAAAAUAAUGAGGGCAUAAUAAAAUAAUAAAUAGGAUAGGUCAGAAUUAACCUCUUCACACAUAUCACUUGAUACGGAAGUUAAAACGCUAACAAAGGUGAUGCAGAUAAAACCACAAAAAUUCGUAAUUAAUGAGCGAGUGUACGUCAAUCAAAUUUAUACACCACCAGGGAUAAAACACAACAUACAAACAAAAUAUAUAGGCCUUUAUCGUAUCGUCAAACAAAUAAGCCCUAAACUUUACAUUGUUGACAAAUGCAUUCUGGUACACAUGAAUCGCUUAAAACCAGUCAUGGAUAGGUUACAGUUCGAUUCAUCCAUAGGGAAGAUUGAUUCUAAUGAUGAACAAUCUUUUUCCACCCCUACGGUAACUCCAGAAGCUAGACCUUCCCAG